CCUACGGGCGGCAGCAGUGGGGAAUAUUGGACAAUGGGGGCAACCCUGAUCCAGCCAUGCCGCGUGUGUGAAGAAGGCCCUCGGGUUGUAAAGCACUUUCAGGGAGGAAGAACGCCUGGUGGUUAAUACCCAUCAGGAAAGACAUCACUCACAGAAGAAGCACCGGCUAACUCCGUGCCAGCAGCCGCGGUAAUACGGAGGGUGCGAGCGGUAAUCGGAAUUACUGGGCGUAAAGCGCGCGUAGGUGGCUUGAUAAGCCGGUCGUGAAAGCCCCGGGCUCAACCUGGGAACGGCAUCCGGAACUGUCAAGCUAGAGUGCAGGAGAGGAGAGUAGAAUUCCCGGUGUAGCGGUGAAAUGCGUAGAGAUCGGGAGGAAUACCAGUGGCGAAGGCGGCCUUCUGGACUGACACUGACACUGAGGUGCGAAAGCGUGGGUAGCAAACAGGAUUAGAUACCCGAGUAGUC
rnacentral:rRNA from 1 species